UACGAAGGGGGCUAGCGUUGCUCGGAAUUACUGGGCGUAAAGGGAGCGUAGGCGGAUAGUUAAGUCAGAGGUGAAAGCCCAGGGCUCAACCUUGGAAUUGCCUUUGAUACUGGCUAUCUUGAGUAUGGGAGAGGUAAGCGGAACUCCGAGUGUAGAGGUGAAAUUCGUAGAUAUUCGGAAGAACACCAGUGGCGAAGGCGGCUUACUGGCCCAUUACUGACGCUGAGGCUCGGAAAGCGUGGGGAGCAAACAGGG
rnacentral:rRNA from 1 species